GCCAGGUGCAGUGGUGUGCACCUGUAGUCCCACCUACUCAGGAGGCUGAGGCGGGAGGAUUGCUUGAGCCCAGGACUUUGAAGCUGCAGUGAGCUGUGAUCACGCCACUGCACUCCAGCCUGGGCAACAAAGUGAGACCCUGUGUUAA
rnacentral:SRP_RNA from 2 species